CCUACGGGAGGCAGCAGUGGGGAAUAUUGCGCAAUGGGCGAAAGCCUGACGCAGCGACGCCGCGUGAGGGAUGAAGGUCUUCGGAUCGUAAACCUCUGUCAGCAGGGAAGAACGGUCACUGUGCUAAUCAGCAGUGAAUUGACGGUACCUGCAAAGGAAGCACCGGCUAACUCCGUGCCAGCAGCCGCGGUAAUACGGAGGGUGCGAGCGUUAAUCGGAAUUACUGGGCGUAAAGCGCUCGUAGGCGGUAUGUCAAGUCAAGGGUGAAAUCCCCGGGCUCAACGUGGGAACUGCCUUUGAAACUGGCAAACUGGAGUGUGUGAGAGGAUAGUGGAAUGCCAGGUGUAGGAGUGAAAUGCGUAGAUAUCUGGAGGAACAUCAGUGGCGAAGGCGACUAUCUGGCACAUAACUGACGCUGAGGAGCGAAAGCGUGGGUAGCAAACAGGAUUAGAUACCCCUGUAGUC
rnacentral:rRNA from 1 species